UCACUUCUUUUGCUCAAUCAGCUGGAAACCACUUCUAAUUCACUAUUUUAAACCUGCUUUAAGCUUCUAAUCACUGGUUGGUCCUCCCAGUCUCUUUUUCCUUGUCACAAAAGUCGCUCUAUUGUCCUGCAACUUCCUGAGUUAUUCCUCAGCUUCAGCCUUUAAGUGUGUUAAAUCUACACCAUUCAGCAUUUAUGUCAUGUAUUCACAUUCAUGAGUGUAAGCAUGUCUUCAUUGCGUGUAUGUUGUGUGUUCAUAUUAAUAUUGAGUGUAAGCUGGUCUUUGUUGCCUCGAUGUGUUUUUAUAAUCAGAUUUAAUUCCUGCAUCUUUGCGCUGAACUGUGGAUUCAAACUGUCUCACUUCUGAUUCUCUCCAAAAACAAUUUCACAUGUGACAAUUUCUACAUGUGUGUUUUCUAUUUUUCUAUUCAUUUAUGUAUUAUUAGUUCAUUUAUUUCUUUAUCUCUCUUACUUUUUUUCUUUACCUUUCUGUUGUGAUGCUCUGGAUGUUUCUAAACCCACAAAUUCAGCCUCAAUGUUCAACCCAACUUUCCUAUGCUGUCACUUUAACACGUCCAACCUUCACCUCUCACCGGUCCUCGUCCCCUCUUCUCUCAACUUCCUGUGUGGCCUCCCAAAUCAAACACAGGCCCACAUCAGCUGUUUCUUCUUCUCUCUUCAUUCUCUCUUCCUCUUUUCAGUCUUUUCUUGGCGCUUAACUCCCAGCAUGGCAAAUAUGAGACUCAGACAGUCCCAUCCAGUGGUUUCACACAGUCAUGUCACUGGUACACUUUCCAGCUUGUAAUUCAGAGCGCAUGUUUCCAUCAACAUACAUGCUGCUGGACCCUUCAGUGUUGUAGGUCAGGUGCACUGUCUUUUUGCCUGCUGUUAAUUCUUCAAGUCCACGGUGUUGUUCUGUCUGUCUUCUGUCUUCAUCAGGAGAUUAACUGUCCUUUAAGCUUCUUCUCAGGAUAAGGACAGGAUGAGAGGUGAAGCUGUGACAUUUUAAACCAAAGCCUGUUUUCGUCCCAAUUCUGUUAAUCUAUCAUUUUUCUGCUGUAUUCUUCCAGGAGGUUGAGCAAGUCCAUGGGCACCUGUAUUAACACACUAAGACAUUUAUUUAAUAUCAUUUUCAUUACUAUUACUUUGCACUUUCAUUCUCUAAUUCCUCUGUUUUCAUUUUGAAACGUCUCUC
ensembl:lncRNA